GACGAACGCUGGCGGCGUGCUUAACACAUGCAAGUCGAACGGUGAAGGCGGAGCUUGCUCUGCUGGUUCAGUGGCGAACGGGUGAGUAACACGUGAGUAAUCUGCCCUUGACUUUGGGAUAAGCGCAGGAAACGGCGUCUAAUACUGGAUACGAGCUGCGACGGCAUCUUCAGCAGCGGGAAAGUACGUCGGUUAGGGAUGGGCUCGCGGCCUAUCAGCUUGUUGGUGAGGUAACGGCUCUCCAAGGCGUCGACGGGUAGCCGGCCUGAGAGGGUGACCGGCCACACUGGGACUGAGACACGGCCCAGACUCCUACGGGAGGCAGCAGUGGGGAAUAUUGCACAAUGGGCGGAAGCCUGAUGCAGCAACGCCGCGUGAGGGACGACGGCCUUCGGGUUGUAAACCGCUUUUGGCUGGGAAGAAGCGAGAGUGACGGUACCUGCAGAAGAAGCGCCGGCUAACUACGUG
rnacentral:rRNA from 1 species